UGAUCUAACCAUGCCGGACUGAAUGCACUCAAAAAAAUCUAAUCUUGAAAGCUAAGCAAUCCCAGGCCUAGGUAGUACUUGGGAGACAGACCAUCUCUGAAUCCCAAGUGCUGUAGGCA
rnacentral:rRNA from 1 species